GGUAAUACGUAGGGUGCGAGCGUUGUCCGGAAUUACUGGGCGUAAAGAGCUCGUAGGUGGUUUGUCGCGUUGUUCGUGAAAUCUCACGGCUUAACUGUGAGCGUGCGGGCGAUACGGGCAGAUAGAGUACUGCAGGGGAGACUGGAAUUCCUGGUGUAGCGGUGGAAUGCGCAGAUAUCAGGAGGAACACCGGUGGCGAAGGCGGGUCUCUGGGCAGUAACUGACGCUGAGGAGCGAAAGCGUGGGGAGCGAACAGGAUUAGAUACCCUGGUAGUCCACGCCGUAAACGGUGGGUACUAGGUGUGGUUUCCUUCCUUGGGAUCCGUGCCGUAGCUAACGCAUAAGUACCCCGCCUGGGGAGUACGGCCGCAAGGUAAAACUCAAAGGAAUUGACGGGGGCCCGCACAAGCGGCGGAGCAUGUGGAUAAUUCGAUGCAACGCGAAGAACCUUACCUGGGUUUGACAUGCACAGGACGCGUCUAGAGAUAGGCGUUCCCUUGUGGCCUGUGUGCAGGUGGUGCAUGGC
rnacentral:rRNA from 1 species